rnacentral:rRNA from 1 species
CCUAGUACUGCGAGUGAAGCGGGAAAGCUCAAAUUUCGAAUCUGGCGGUCUUUGGCCGUCCGAGUUGUAAUCUARAGAAGCGUCUUCCGUGCUGGCCCGUGUACAAGUCUCCUGGAAGGGAGCGUCAUAGAGGGUGAGAAUCCCGUCUUUGACACGGACGCGCAGUGCUAUGUGAUGCGCUCUCGACGAGUCGAGUUGUUUGGGAAUGCAGCUCAAAAUGGGUGGUAAAUUCCAUCUAAAGCUAAAUACAGGCGAGAGACCGAUAGCGAACAAGUACCGUGAGGGAAAGAUGAAAAGAACUUUGGAAAGAGAGUUAAACAGUACGUGAAAUUGCUGAAAGGGAAACGCUUGAUGUCAGUCGCGUCGGCCGGGGAUCAACCUUGCUUUUCGCUGGGUGUACUUCCCGCUCGACGGGUCAGCAUCAGUUUCGGUCGCCGUACAAGGGCAAAGGGAACGUGGCACUCUUCGGAGUGUGUUAUAGCCUUUCGUCGUAUGCGGUGCUCGGGACUGAGGAACUCGGCACGGCUUUUUCGUCUGUGCUUAGGAUGCUGGCAUAAUGGCCUUAAGCGACCCGUCUUGAAACACSGACCAA